rnacentral:misc_RNA from 1 species
AACCUAGCACACCUGCGGUGUGUACCUGCGGAAGGAUCAUUAACGAGUUACCACUCUAUAACCCUUUGUGAACAUACCUACAUGUUGCUUCGGCGGUCGGCCCCCCCGGGCCCCCGGCCCCGCUCACGCGGGGCGUCCGCCGGAGGAUAACCAAACUCUGAUUUAACGACGUUUCUUCUGAGUGGCACAAGCAAAUAAUCAAAACUUUCAGCAACGGAUCU